rnacentral:rRNA from 1 species
AGAGUUUGAUCAUGGCUCAGAUUGAACGCUGGCGGCAGGCUUAACACAUGCAAGUCGAACGGACUACUUCGGUAGUUAGUGGCGAACGGGUGAGUAAUGCCUAGGAAUCUGCCAUUUAGUGGGGGAUAACGUUCCGAAAGGAACGCUAAUACCGCAUACGUCCUACGGGAGAAAGAGGGGGAUCUUCGGACCUCUUGCUAAAUGAUGAGCCUAGGUCAGAUUAGCUAGUUGGUGAGGUAAAGGCUCACCAAGGCGACGAUCUGUAGCGGGUCUGAGAGGAUGAUCCGCCACACUGGAACUGAGACACGGUCCAGACUCCUACGGGAGGCAGCAGUGGGGAAUAUUGGACAAUGGGGGCAACCCUGAUCCAGCCAUGCCGCGUGUGUGAAGAAGGCCUUUUGGUUGUAAAGCACUUUAAGCGAGGAGGAGGGUACUCUAGCUAAUACCUAGAUGUAUCGGACGUUACUCGCAGAAUAAGCACCGGCUAACUCUGUGCCAGCAGCCGCGGUAAUACAGAGGGUGCGAGCGUUAAUCGGAAUUACUGGGCGUAAAGCGCGCGUAGGCGGUUAUGUAAGUUGGAUGUGAAAUCCCCGGGCUUAACCUGGGCACUGCAUUCAAAACUGCAUAGCUAGAGUAUGGGAGAGGAAGGUAGAAUUCCAGGUGUAGCGGUGAAAUGCGUAGAGAUCUGGAGGAAUACCGAUGGCGAAGGCAGCCUUCUGGCCUAAUACUGACGCUGAGGUGCGAAAGCAUGGGGAGCAAACAGGAUUAGAUACCCUGGUAGUCCAUGCCGUAAACGAUGUCAACUAGCCGUUGGGGACCUUGAGUCCUUAGUGGCGCAGCUAACGCGAUAAGUUGACCGCCUGGGGAGUACGGCCGCAAGGUUAAAACUCAAAUGAAUUGACGGGGGCCCGCACAAGCGGUGGAGCAUGUGGUUUAAUUCGAUGCAACGCGAAGAACCUUACCUGGCCUUGACAUACAGAGAAUCUUUCAGAGAUGAGAG